rnacentral:rRNA from 1 species
GACGAACGCUGGCGGCGUGCUUAACACAUGCAAGUCGAACGGGCCCGCCCCUGUUUUUGGGGGUGGGUUGAGUGGCGAACGGGUGAGUAUCACGUGAGUAACCUGCCCCCUGCUCCUGGAUAACUGCUUGAAAGGGCGGCUAAUACGGGGUGUGCCGGCUGGUCCGCAUGGGCCUGGUCGGGAUAGUUUCAUCUUCGGGUGUUUCGGUGGGGGAUGGGCUCGCGGCCUAUCAGCUUGUUGGUGGGGUGAUGGCCCACCAAGGCGGUGACGGGUAGCCGGCCUGGGAGGGGGGGCGGCCACACUGGGACUGAGACACGGCCCAGACUCCUGCGGGAGGCAGCAGUGGGGGGUAUUGCACAAUGGGCGGAAGCCUGAUGCAGCGACGUCGCGUGAGGGAUGGAGGCCUUCGGGUUGUGAACCUCUUUCUCCGGUGGUGAAGGCCCUGUCCGUUGCGGCGGGGUUGACGGUAGCCGGGUAUGAAGCGCCGGCUAACUACGUG